UACGUAGGGUGCGAGCGUUAAUCGGAAUUACUGGGCGUAAAGCGUGCGCAGGCGGUUUUGUAAGCCAGAUGUGAAAGCCCCGGGCUUAACCUGGGAAUGGCAUUUGGGACUGCAAGGCUGGAGUGUGGCAGAGGAGACUGGAAUUCCUGGUGUAGCAGUGAAAUGCGUAGAUAUCAAGAGGAACACCAAUAGCGAAGGCAGCUCGCUGGGACGGUACUGACGCUGAGGCGCGAAAGCGUGGGGAGCGAACAGG
rnacentral:rRNA from 1 species